GACGAACGCUGGCGGCGUGCCUAAUACAUGCAAGUAGAACGCAGUUGCGAACGGGUGAGUAACGCGUAGGUAACUGCCUCAUAGCGGGGGAUAACUAUUGGAAACGAUAGCUAAUACCGCAUACUGUGAGAUGGACCUGCGUUGUUUUAGCUAGUUGGUGAGGUAAAGGCUCACCAAGGCGACGAUACAUAGCCGACCUGAGAGGGUGAUCGGCCCAACCGGGACUGGGGACAGGCCCAGAGUCCUCCGGGAGGCAGCCGUAGGGAAUCUGUGGAAAUGGACGGAAGUCUGACCGAGCAACGCCGGGUGAGUGAAGAAGGUUUUCGGAUCGUAAAGCUAUGUUGUUAGAGAAACGGUAACUAACCAGAAAGGAACGGCUAACUACGUGCCAGCAGCCGCGGUAAUUC
rnacentral:rRNA from 1 species